UACGUGGGGUGCGAGCGUUAAUCGGAAUUACUGGGCGUAAAGCGUGCGCAGGCGGUUUUGUAAGCCAGAUGUGAAAUCCCCGAGCUCAACUUGGGAACUGCAUUUGGGACUUCAAGGCUAGAGUACGGCAGAGGGGGGUAGAAUUCCUGGUGUAGCAGUGAAAUGCGUAGAUAUCAGGAGGAAUACCGAUGGCGAAGGCAGCCCCCUGGGUCGAUACUGACGCUCAGGCACGAAAGCGUGGGGAGCAAACAGG
rnacentral:rRNA from 1 species